rnacentral:rRNA from 1 species
UACGUGGGGAGCAAGCGUUGUUCGGAUUUACUGGGCGUAAAGGGCGCGUAGGCGGCCACCGCAAGUCAGUUGUGAAAUCUCUGGGCUUAACCCAGAAAGGUCAACUGAUACUGCGGGGCUAGAGUGCAGAAGGGGCAACUGGAAUUCUCGGUGUAGCGGUGAAACGCGUAGAUAUGCGGAGGAACACCGAUGGCGAAGGCAAUCCCCUGGGCCUGCACUGACGCUCAUGCACGAAAGCGUGGGGAGCAAACAGG